rnacentral:rRNA from 1 species
UACAGAGGCCCCAAGCGUUACUGAGAAUCACUGGGCUUAAAGGGCGCGUAGGCGGGCUCGCAGGUCAGGGGUGAAAGCCCACGGCUCAACCGUGGAAGUGCCUUUGAUACCGUGAGUCUCGAGGGAGGUAGGGGCGUGCGGAACUUCCGGUGGAGCGGUGAAAUGCGUAGAUAUCGGAAGGAACAUCGGUGGCGAAAGCGGCGCGCUGGACCUCUUCUGACGCUGAGGCGCGAAAGCCAGGGGAGCAAACGGG